rnacentral:rRNA from 1 species
UGAACGCUGGCGGUAUGCUUAACACAUGCAAGUCGAACGGUAACAGGCAAAGCUUGCUUUGCGCUGACGAGUGGCGGACGGGUGAGUAACGCGUGGGAAUCUGCCUUAUAGUGGGGGAUAGCCCGGAGAAAUCCGGAUUAAUACCGCAUACGCCCUACGGGGGAAAGCCGGGGAUCUUCGGACCUGGCGCUAUUAGAUGAGCCCGCGUUAGAUUAGCUUGUUGGUGGGGUAAUGGCCUACCAAGGCAACGAUCUAUAGCUGGUCUGAGAGGACGAUCAGCCACACUGGGACUGAGACACGGCCCAGACUCCUACGGGAGGCAGCAGUGGGGAAUAUUGCACAAUGGGCGCAAGCCUGAUGCAGCAAUACCGCGUGUGUGAAGAAGGCCUGCGGGUUGUAAAGCACUUUCAAUUGUGAAGAAAUGCUCAUAGCUAAUACCUAUGAGUCUUGACAUUAGCAAUACAAGAAGCACCGGCUAACUCC